GCGUUGAUAACUCAGUUGGGAGAGUGCCAGACUGAAGCAUACUUUAGUUCAAUAAUCUGGAAGUCACCGGUUCAAUCCCGGUUCGACGCA
rnacentral:tRNA from 1 species